UACGUGAACAUGCCAGUUAUAGCUAGCUAAUAAAGAGCUACGUUAAGAAAUAUCCUGUAGUACUGCAUUUUAUUAUUUUGUACAAAGUGUGCAAAACAAGACAAAAGGUGUAGUUGGGUAGAGGGGAAAUUAAAACUUUGAUUUGUAAAAAUGGGUUAGGUUGCUGGCAGAGACCUUGGGAUGAAAGUAGUAAGGGCAGAAACGUGUUAUAUAGUACAAAUACAUCUGUACGGGAGAUAGUGUCAUGUCAUGGGAACAGAAGGGAGGAUGUUGUGUAGGAUGUGAUUAGGGUUUACGGGAUUGAAUUAAUAUUUGAAAUUAAUAGGUUAACAUGGUACUGGAAUGUGUAAUGGAUGAGUGGUAGAGGAAACGGUUGAACAUGCAUUAUUAUUUUGUGAUGAUUUGAUAGGGUCUGAGAUGUUGGACGGAAAGCCACAUCGAAUUUAGGCCUACAUUGAACACCACACAUUGGUUGAUACUGCAUGCUGAAUGAUAGAACUGCUAUUUCCAUUUUAAAAUGUUAUGUGAUGCAUUUCCUUCAUUGUUUUUUAUGCUAGGCCCCUCUGGUAGGCCUACAUUAUGAUCAGUUAGCCACAGUAGCCUGAUUGGCCACUGUUAGAACAGUAAAUUAAAACGGGUACAGUAAACGCUCGCCGGAUAUUGCACAGCAAUUUCACAAGGUUCAAGCCCUGACAUUUGCUCACGUUAGAGGGAACAUUUGAUUAUGACUCGUACUGUGGGGCUCUAUUGUUAGGGCGUAGAAACGUGUAUCUUGUCAGUAUAUCCAUAAUCUUUGCUGUUGCCAUUUGGCAGCUGUUGCCUUGUAGCUUUAGCUACCGGAGUAGCAAAUGUUAGCAAGUUCGCUAGCUAACUUGGUUGCUCAAAUGUCCGAAUAAACACCAAUCAACGGCACCGCUGACUGGACUUUCUAUUUUAUUGACAACGCAAGAGUUACGAAGUACGACCACUUGUCUCUCGCUAAAACAUGAUUUUGUGUUCAGUGGUUGCUUGACAACGGAAAUUAAAGAGACAGUGGGCCAUUGCUACAUUCUGUCAAUGAGAUGAUUAGAGGAAAUUACAACAGCAUACGUAGAUGGUUUAGUUACAGUCAUGCUAGCUACCGUUACCUAGCUGCUACUACUACUGUACGAUAACGUAGCCAGUUAGCUACCAGUAGCGCCCAAAUGUUUACAAUUCAAGACCUUUCUUGCAAACGUCAACAUCAUCUCUAUUUGAACCAUUUCACAGAAACAUUGAAGUGUCUGUUUACUAGCUAGAUAACGUUAUACUGUGUGUACGUUGCUAGUACAGUUGAGCUGUAUUUAUACAUUUGACAUUUUGUCACUGUCUUUU
rnacentral:lncRNA from 1 species